rnacentral:ncRNA from 4 species
UACGUAGGGUGCAAGCGUUAUCCGGAAUUAUUGGGCGUAAAGAGCUCGUAGGCGGUUUGUCGCGUCUGCUGUGAAAACUGGAGGCUCAACCUCCAGCCUGCAGUGGGUACGGGCAGACUAGAGUGCGGUAGGGGAGAUUGGAAUUCCUGGUGUAGCGGUGGAAUGCGCAGAUAUCAGGAGGAACACCGAUGGCGAAGGCAGAUCUCUGGGCCGUAACUGACGCUGAGGAGCGAAAGCAUGGGGAGCGAACAGG